AGGUUCCUAUUGUCGGCACUGAAGCCCAGGCAAACAUUCCGCCACUUCCCCCUGUUUAAGCCUUGGUUGUCCUGAUCAGGAAGGCUUGGUGCGACGAUGACUGGGUGAAAGACGAGCUUUCUUAGAGUUGGUAGCCUACAAGGAAGAACUCCCG